rnacentral:rRNA from 1 species
CCCGACUCCAUGAAGCUGGAUUCGCUAGUAAUCGCGCAUCAGCCACGGCGCGGUGAAUACGUUCCCGGGCCCUUGUACACACCGCCCGUCAAGCCAUGGAAGCCGGGGGUGCCUGAAGUGCGCUGCCGCGAGGAGCGCCCUAGGGUAAAACCGGUGACUGGGGCUAAGUCGUAACAAGGUAAC